rnacentral:rRNA from 1 species
AUUGAACGCUGGCGGCAGGCCUAACACAUGCAAGUCGAGCGAGCGGCGGACGGGUGAGUAAUGUAUGGGGACUGCCCGAUAGAGGGGGAUAACUACUGGAAACGGUGGCUAAUACCGCAUACUAUCGGAUAACCCAUAUGGGAUUAGCUAGUAGGUGGGGUAAAGCCUCACAUAGGCGACGAUCUCUAGCUGGUCUGAGAGGAUGAUCAGCCAAACUGGGACUGGGACACGGCCAGAACUCCUACGGAGGCAGCAGUGGGAAAUAUUGGACAAGGGGCGCAAGCCUGAUGCAGCCAUGCCGCGUGUAUAGAGAAGGCCUUAGGGUUGUAAAGUACUUUCAGCGGGGAGGCGGUACCCGCAGAGAAAGCACCGGCUAACUCCGUGCCAGCAGCCGCGGUAAUUC